GUGCUCACUUUGGCAGCAUAUAUACUAAAAUUGGAAAACUACAAGGAAGAUUAGCAUGGCAUCUACACAAGGAUGACAUGGAAUUGGUGAAAAAUCUCCCACCCCGAU
rnacentral:snRNA from 1 species